rnacentral:sRNA from 1 species
CUUUUAAUCAAUUGGUCGCAGGUUCGAGCCGAGCAGAGCGAGACAACAACGCGCCAGCGUUGACCCGAAGGGCGAGUCCAGAGGACGAGUCAUCCCGCACGACCCACCA